UAACGCGUGAGGAACCUGCCUCAAAGAGGGGACGAACAGUUGGAAACGACUGCUAAUACCGCAUAAGCCCACAGCUCGGCAUCGAGCAGAGGAAAAGGAGUGAUCCGCUUUGAGAUGGCCUCGCGUCCGAUUAGCUAGUUGGUGAGGUAAUGGCCCACCAAGGCGACGAUCGGUAGCCGGACUGAGAGGUUGAACGGCCACAUUGGGACUGAGACACGGCCCAG
rnacentral:rRNA from 1 species